rnacentral:rRNA from 1 species
GACGAACGCUGGCGGCGUGCUUAACACAUGCAAGUCGAACGGAAAGGCCCCUUUGGGGGUACUCGAGUGGCGAACGGGUGAGUAACACGUGAGUAACCUGCCCUUGACUUCGGGAUAACUUCAGGAAACUGGGGCUAAUACCGGAUAGGAAUCCUUGCUGCAUGGUGGGGGUUGGAAAGCUUCGGCGGUUUUGGAUGGACUCGCGGCUUAUCAGCUUGUUGGUGGGGUAGUGGCUUACCAAGGCUUUGACGGGUAGCCGGCCUGAGAGGGCGACCGGCCACAGUGAGUCUGAGAGACGGCCCAGACUCCUACGGGAGGCAGCAGUGGGGAAUAUUGCACGAUGGGCGGAAGCCUGGUGCAGCAACGCCGCGGGCGGGAAGACGGCCUUCGGGUUGUAAACCGCUUUCAGCAGGGGCGAAGCUUGUGGUGACUGUACCUGCAGAAGAAGCACCGGCUAACUACGUG